GAGGGGUGGACCGUCUCCGCCACAAAGGGGUGACGCCGUUGCUGGAAAAAUCCACCUCGCUUUCGCUGUCCAUAGCGGGGCCUUGGGGCCGGCCCCGAGAGAAGGAGAGCUGCUCAGGUUGCCUAAGAGGAAGGAACUUUGCCUCCGGACAACUGGUCUAGUCUGGGAGCCUAGCCCGCUCCCAGUUUGGCAGUCACAGGAGUGUCGCGCGGGACUCGGCAGCGCCGCACUUACCCGCCCUUUCUCGGGCACAGCGCCUCCCGCCACGCUUGGCGACCCCGGGUAGAGAUCCGACCUGCAGCCGAUAGGAUGAAUCCGGUCUCUUCUGCGUUCUUCCCGCGUCCAAAGCCCGCCGGCACCUAGAGAGCCCACACGCAGUGGGUAGUCGACGCGCAGGACACUUGGGAAGAGUUCAGCUGGCACCGACAGCUCGCCGCGGGACGCUCCCCGGCGCCUCCAUCCAGCCGCCCGCUCCGCGACAGUCCACCGGGCCCCCACUGCACGGCCCGCGACGCGCUCACCCUUCCGGGUGUCCAGAGCGCAGAUCAAGGAGUGCACCGCGCCCCGUGGGUGGCCUGGGUCCGCACCAAAGCUCCCGGCUAACAACUCCGCGCUGCGCAGCAAAGGCCCGCGGCGCCGGCUCCGCCCCCACGCUAGGGCCAGCCCCUCCUGACCCCGCCCCUGUACGCCCGGGAAUCUUGCUCUGAGGAGUCCCGGAGUACCAGUCCCCGCCUACACCAAGUGCAUUCUGAUCUCUUUGCCUAGAGGAUUUGCACACCUGAGCCGGGUGCUAGAAGCGAGUACCAGGGUGCCAGUGCUGGAGCGCAGGCUGCGGACGCAGAGGCCAGCUGGAGGGCGCGGUCGUGCCUCGGAGCACAACGUGGGAACCGUCGUGAGAGUAUGGCCAAGUGGGCCUGGAGUCAUCUCUGGAAAACAGGGCACAGCAAAAGGAAGUGUGUAGCCUGGGUGGUUUGCAAUAUACACCAGAUUCCUGCUCCACCCUCAGUGCAUAGGUAAAAUUAUAUCAAGAAUAAUGUGGAGAUACUGAAGACUGGUCGGUGCUUUCAAGUUUUUUCCUGCCCAGAUUUGUUUGGCGGAAAUCCUUUCUUACCUAUCUCAAAAAUCCAGCAAGGAGGGGAAAAAGCAGCUGAAAUAAAUUGAACCCUGUGAUUAUUGA